GUUCACAAAGGAGGGAAUGGGCAACUCGAUGCUGAGUUGUAUGUCAGGAUCCCAAACUCCCAGAUCCAAACGAACAUCAAAUGCACUCACCGCUCCAGAAGGUUCCGCAGCCUGCCCCAUGCAGCAGAAAAAGUGCUCAGCAGAUCUUCUGGAGCCAGGGAUCACCUUGACCUCCUUCCCGCCUGCCCAUUCCAUCUUGACUCUUUUUUUCUACCUAUCCAUCCCAGACCUUGCUGUGGUCAGAGGUCGCUGAAUUAAAAUUGUGCACAACAAAAGCUUUGCUGAUGUAUCAGAAUUUCUAGGGUGACCUAAUUCCCUGUGUCUGUUUUUCACGACUUUUCUAUUUCUUCCCCCCUCUCUUGUUUAUAAGAGCAAAUCACUGGACUGAGAUCAAGCAGUUCAUGGUGCCAAAAAACCAGAGAAGCUGCCGAGGCUCCAAGGGUGAUGCAGAAAGGCCUCCCCACGCCAGCAUCACCCCACUGAGCAGAGGCCUUGCACUCAGCUCCACGGGACCCCUGGGGUCGGUCCCGCACCUGGGCUCAGCAGGGCUCGCAGCUCAGGUGCACGACAACCACCAGCCUGGGGCUCCCUCAGCAAACUGCCCUCAGCUCUAGUGGGGGGCCUCGCUUUUAUCUUCAGGUGAGGGGCAAGGGCCGAGGUGCAGGUGACUCGCACUGGUGUUCUAUAGAAGAAGGAGAAAGUGUUGGGGGGGUGGGACGCUAGCCAGAAUAACACUUCUUGCCUGUUCUUCCCUCUUUUGAAUGCUUUCCUAUUUUGUGCUCUGUUUCUUGCCCCUCCCUAUCCUGGAAGGGAAGAAGGCCCCCCGUGUGUUUUUGUGUGGCAGUUCGCAGAGGCCAGGAAUUUGGGGUGGAUGGGAGCUCCCGAGACUUACAGCCUGGCGUGUCAGUUCUCACCACCGAAACUCCAGGGUUCCCGUGAACUUGAUGUGGUGGGAUUACCUCCCCCACCCUGAGUGCAGAAAAUGAGAAAAAUGCUAUGGAAGCCUGCCCAAGAUCACUGAGCUAAUACAUGGAGAAGCCCUGAUAGAAACAUAGAUUUUUCUGAAUCUAAGUCUAAAAAGAAGUUACCCAUAUAUCAAAAAGUUUAAAUUGCAGUAUUCGGUCUUUCAAUCGUACGUAAGUGGUGGGAUUAUUUGAAAGAACCUGACGGUGACUCCUGUGUGACCCAUAUUUAACCUGCUUGAUCGACCCAGGUGCUCCUUUGCGCAUUCCUUAAAGUGAAGCCCCUUGCAUGGGGUUAGCUCCUACGGACUCAGGAAUGAAAGUCCUGACCAAGCACCUAGAGAUUCUAGGUGCUUCCAGCCCAUCAGCUCAUUUAAUGGAUACCCUCAUCACCCUCCCCAUCAUCGUCAUCACUUACCCCCUGUCUGACGCUGUCUGACGCUGGGGACAAAGAGGCACAGAGCCAUAAUUCACCAGCCAGAGACCCCCCCCAGAGGUAGUGUUGGUUCAAACCCAGGAACUCUGGUCCAUAGUCUCUGCAUUUCACUGCUUUGCUCUCUUCUUUGUCUCUUUCUAGGCAGCCCUCACUUCUCUCAAUGUUUCCAUGGUGGGGAGGGGCACAGAUUCAAUUGUGCAGAUGACCCAACCAUGCUGGCUUACCCUCCUGGGCGCUGUAGCUGGGCUCAGCUCAUUGCAGACUCAUUGUCAAGAAGCCUCAUACAGGUAUUUAGGAUGGCCCAAGAGAGAAGGAAUAUUUGGAAGUAAAUCCCUUUAUAUCUGCUCCCCAAAUUUUAAGUUGCAGGUCUGAAGGGGUCUGGAGGCCGCAUUUCUCACAAGUGGCCAGGUGAUACAGAAGUCUCUAGUCUGAACACCAUGCUUUGAGCAGCAUGGCUCGAGACCACAGUUUUCCAGACUAGAUUCCAGGGGUUUCCUGAAGAUGCCUCGGGAGAGGGCCUGGGAUUGUGUGAAGGGUUUUGAGUAAGAUUUCCUUUGGAAAAGGGGUUUUCAUGCUUUGAAAAAAAAGUUUGAAAACCACAGCCCUAAACUUAAUAUCCCAUACAUUUGGAGAUACUUACUAGAAUGUGUGGUAAGAAAUUUCUGUCCCAAAGAUCAUUUUUUUACAGACUUUGCUGACUCAGGGGAAUCAGCAGCCAUGUUUGGACAGCCGGCCUCACAGUGACCUCUCUGCUACCUAAUGGAAAAUGUUGAAGGGUGGCCGGCAGAGAGCCAUCUGUAAAUGCGGAUGGGGCCGGAUGUGAGUGGAUCACAGCAAGAUGGCGCAGAGGGCAUGAAGGAGGAGGUACCCAAGCCAGCAGACAUGCACAGUUCCCGGGAGGCCAGGGAGAGAGGGAGAGAGGCCUCUGAGUAUGGGAGUUGAGACCCUGGAGAACGCACGGAAGGUUUCAGGUGGGAAGGCUUCAGGUGGGCCUGGUCCCGCACAGUGGGAAAUCAGCAAGUCACUAAGAUCCCAUUCAGGCCAAGGUUGGGCAGGGCCCUGUUUUGCAUCUAGUCCCCUUCCACUGCCCUGGGCUUCAGCUUACUCAUUUCUCAAAUGGGGGGGUGGGCGGUGAUGGUUCUAAAGACCUUCCCGGGCUGGCACGUCCCCAAAUCUGAUGGUACAUAGGAAGCAAGCUGGGUGAGCCUGGGGGUACACAAACAAUUUUUUAUUUUUAUAGUUAUGUUUUUGUUUUAAUGUUUAUUAGAAAAAAAUGUGAACUAGAACCUCAAGCCCAUGCUCUGCCCAGCAUUCCUACAUCGGUGGAGGCUGAAGCAGGGAGCCCCAGGGCCUCCAGUGCUUGCUCAGCUCCUGUAUUCUAUACAUAUGGGAACAGAUGUGACAAAAAUGAGAGCAGGCAAAGGGAACUGUAGUUAUGGAUGCCCAGGAAAAUUCAGAUUUCCCUCCAGGAAGAAGGCCUCCUGACUACGGGAGGGAGCUGGUCCCUGGGGCCGGGAAGGUGUGACCGUGAGGUGACAGGCUCAGCAUGCACCCCUGUCCCCCCAAACCCUCUCCAGCCAGCAACCAGGGGAGGGCUGAGCUCAAAACAGCCUUAACAAAGGACUUCACUCGUCUGCUCUCCUGAGUCUUUGGAACCCAGAUUCCAAGUCAUAGACUGCAUCUCUCCCAGCUAUGCCGCAGGUCCCCGGGAGUGACAGACGCCUGAGGAUGUCUAACAACAUCUGCAGAUGAAAACAAAAUGCCAGAAUGUGCGCCGUUUCCUGUCCGUCCAGCUGCCUUGCAAUCUUUGGAUUCCAAGACCCGGAUUCAGUUCACAGGAUGAGAUUAUCUUAAUUCGCACUGCUUCCAAGUCCACCUUGUGAAGCUGUAUUUAAACUAAAAGGAUAUUUCAGAGUGGCCUCACCUCUCCACCCACCCUGGGUUAUCCACGGGACCCACCCUGAAAGCCAGAAACACAGUGGAGCCCUGCCUGGCCCCGAGAGAAAGAAUGACAUUGCUGCAAGCCAUUGAGAGAAAGGAGCUUGGAAGGUCAGACCGUGCACAAUCAUCUCAUACAUUUCCCUCCUUCUGCUCAUCUAAGAGGACACAAGGAAAAGGGCUGGAUUCACCCGAUUUCCCUACACCCAUGCCCUAAUGGUGGGAUUCUGGUUGCAUCUUCUCUCCCUCCCAUGGAAAUGCUGUCUCCUUUACAGCUCCCUUGCAGCUUUCCCUCUCCCUGAUGGUUUGCAGCGUUGACGGGGUAGGAAUCAAAUCUGAGGCUUGAAGCCUGGGAGAUUUCCCACCAGUGUGCUCACGCCUUUGCAGGGGAUCAAAACUGUGCCCUACCUGCUCUGUAUAAACCAGGACAACCCCCAAGUCCCUCCCAGCCUUUCAGAUCUCCUAUCCUUGAGUUCUCCAGGCAACUUUCACCACCAAAGGGAGGCCAACACACCAAGAGACCUGUCCCCAGCUUGGAAUCCCAGAGACCCCCAAAGCGGUGAUGAACGGCUCCAUUUUGCGUGACAGCUAAUUCGCUGGCGGAUCAGUGGAAAACUCAGCGACAUUGUGAGUAAGGAAGUUGGAAUGUCGGUCUUUGCUGGGAUUUAAUAUGACAGAUUUCUGGCUCUGAACUUGGACAAGAUUAACUCUUCAUUCUGAAGGAAAGAAAGAAGAAGAGGAAGAAGAAGAAGAAAAAAAAAAAACCGCCUCUCUGAAAUCGCAGUUUAGUGGAACAAUGUGCAGCUUUGAAAGUGUUGCAGGCGGUCAGAUUUGCGCAUUCCCUUUUUCCGGGGCUGCAUAUUUUCUGUGUCUGAUAAAAUGUUUGUUACACCUCCUCUGUGCCAGGGACACAUACAGUAAAUUGUCAGCUCGAACCAUGUAAUCUCUUAACCAGAAGGCUCCAAACAUCUGUUGGCCAGUUGUCGAAUGGUUGGAUCAUUAACAUGGCUUCUAAUUUUACUCUUUGAAUUUAACAUAAAAAGUUUUAAUGAGCGUAUGUAAUUCAUACUUUCCAACUUCAGAGAGUCCUGAAAGAGAAACCUAUGCUUUUAUAAUCCAAGUCUCUGACGUAGACAGCUUUAUUUUUAAUUCCCAUCCCCCCCACCCCCGCCCGUACACAAAUGCAUUAUAAAAGAGGUCAAUUGGACAUUAUCUUCCUUUCCAAGACAGGCUUUCAAAUAUUUGUCUAGGUUUUGGUGAAGAGCCCCUUUCAACUUUGGGCUCAGAUGAUAUGGCAGACGUGUUCAUUCUGCAUUUCAGCCUGAGACUUGUGUUGUGAGCCCCCCAUUCAUCCAUCUAUAAAAACAAAUUGAAAAUUGGCAUGAGAAAGACAACCCCUGAGUCAU